AACGAACGCUGGCGGCAUGCCUAACACAUGCAAGUCGAACGAGAUCUUCGGGUCUAGUGGCGCACGGGUGCGUAACGCGUGGGAAUCUGCCCUUUGGUUCGGAAUAACAGUUGGAAACGACUGCUAAUACCGGAUAAUGACGAAAGUCCAAAGAUUUAUCGCCAGAGGAUGAGCCCGCGUAGGAUUAGCGAGUUGGUGUGGUAAAGGCGCACCAAGGCGACGGUCCUUAGCUGGUCUGAGAGGAUGAUCAGCCACACUGGGACUGAGACACGGCCCAGACUCCUACGGGACGCAGCAGUGGGGAAUAUUGGACAAUGGGCGAAAGCCUGAUCCAGCAAUGCCGCGUGAGUGAUGAAGGCCUUAGGGUUGUAAAGCUCUUUUACCCGGGAUGAUAAUGACAGUACCGGGAGAAUAAGCUCCGGCUAACUCCGUGCCAGCCGCCGCCGUAA
rnacentral:rRNA from 1 species